AUAUUUGUUAAGAAAUACAAAAGAAAACACUUAUAGUAGUUUUAAUUUUUAUAUUCACCCCUAAUAUUACGAAAGAAAAUAUAUACUCUUUUCGUUUCCAAAAGAUCUAUGGGAGUGAUUGGUUGAGUUGUAACAAGUGACUUUAGUUUUAACUUUUAUCUACAACCUCAAAAACCACCAAUCAUGCUUUAUAUUCGUUUUUAAAACUACAACCAAAAAAUUAAAGCUACACCAAAAAAAAAAUAAAAAAAAAAUAGCUAUAAAAGUCUUAUUUUCUAAAGCUCCAUCUUUUUGGUUGUAGGAAAUUUUAAAGCUACAUCUUUUAAAGUUAAAUACAAAAAUCCUACAGACUAAGGGGAUGAUUGGUUGGAGCUGUAGAUGCUCUGUAC
rnacentral:lncRNA from 1 species